rnacentral:rRNA from 1 species
UGGGGAAUAUUGGACAAUGGGCGCAAGCCUGAUCCAGCCAUGCCGCGUGAGUGAUGAAGGCCCUAGGGUUGUAAAGCUCUUUCACCGGUGAAGAUAAUGACGGUAACCGGAGAAGAAUCCCCGGCUAACUUCGUGCCAGCAGCCGCGGUAAUACGAAGGGGGCUAGCGUUGUUCGGAUUUACUGGGCGUAAAGCGCACGUAGGCGGACUUUUAAGUCAGGGGUGAAAUCCCGGGGCUCAACCCCGGAACUGCCUUUGAUACUGGAAGUCUUGAGUAUGGUAGAGGUGAGUGGAAUUCCGAGUGUAGAGGUGAAAUUCGUAGAUAUUCGGAGGAACACCAGUGGCGAAGGCGGCUCACUGGACCAUUACUGACGCUGAGGUGCGAAAGCGUGGGGAGCAAACAGG